UCGUAAAACUGAGGUGCGGAGGGCUGUCGCUGACCUUUUGGUUGUGCACGCCCAAAGUGCUCUCACACAAUCCAUCUCACCCCUUUGUGCACCACCGCGUGGGUCCCUCUCUGGUUUGUCCCGAGGGGGGCUUGCGUUUUCACACAAACUUGAAGUAGUGUAGAAUGUUUCUUUUUGCGAUAACACGCAAUCAAUA
rnacentral:misc_RNA from 2 species